GGGCUCACACAAGCGGUGGAGCAUGUUGCUUAAUUCGAGGCAACGCGAAGAACCUUACCUGGGUUUGACAUGCACGGAUUAACUUUGUGAAAGCAGAGCCACACCCGCAAGGGUGGAACGUGCACAGGUGCUGCAUGGCUGUCGUCAGCUCGUGCUGUGAAGUGUCGGGUUAAGUCCCUUAACGAGCGCAACCCCUAUCGUUAGUUGCCUGGCGCAAGCCGGUACUCUAGCGAGACUGCCGGUGUCAAACCGGAGGAAGGUGGGGAUGACGUCAAGUCCUCAUGGCCCUUACAUCCAGGGUUGCAAACGUGCUACAAUGGCGCGCACAAAGCGACGCGAGGCCGCGAGGCGGAGCAAAUCGCAAAAAACGCGCCCCAGUUCGGAUUGCAGGCUGCAACUCGCCUGCAUGAAGUCGGAAUCGCUAGUAAUCGGAGAUCAGCUACGCUCCGGUGAAUGUGUUCCUGAGCCUU
rnacentral:rRNA from 1 species